AUAAUCUGCCUUCUUUUUGAGAAAACGAACUCAGUUCCUAACCUCUAAAAGAGUUAGCCGCGAGUUUUCCAGGGGAGUUCCGCAAGCAGAAACCAAGUGUUAGUCUAACCACAAGCGGGAGAAGUAGGGUGUGAGUAUAGUGUCAGUCAAUAAAUCGGGGUAUAUUAUGUGUUACGUGGCAGGACAAACACACAACGGCAGCACCUGAGCCACUGAAAAAAGGCAGAUGGAUUAUUUGCGAGUUUUCUGUUAAUUUUUAAGGCAAAAAGAUAAACUUGAUGAUACAGGAAGUGUGGUGUAGCU
rnacentral:misc_RNA from 1 species